CUGGCCUAAACUGUGGCGAGCUGUGAUGCUGAGAUUAGAACUCAAGUCUUCUGAAUUUACCUCCUGUAUGUAUCCUCACUCUACUGGGAGAAAAAUAAGGCCAGAGAGGUUAAGCAACUUGACGAGUGUCACACAGCCAGAAAUAGAAUGGCACAGAUCCCAAGUGAACCAUGAACCCAUGAUAUAAUGCAGCCUCUCAUUCUCUUUCCCAGUCUUCUCAUCCCAAGGCAGGUAAGGUUUUCUUUAUUCAGUGAAGGUCAUCAAUCUGGAUUACAAGUAGUUUGUACUUCUUCCUCAAUCAGCUUGAGUGAGUGAGUCCCUGAGUGCAAACACUUCCCAAAUAUGCCCCACAGUCACUUUUUACCAUCAUAGCUGGUCUAUCCCUGUCAAGCAGUGGGUCUGGCCCCAUAAGUGAGAAUCCACUGGAGUGUACCCCAUGCUUCUACGUCUCUUUCUACUGAGACUUUGCUCCGGAACCUAAGAUUACUCUCUGCAGCCACGGCAGCCUCAAGAUACUCCCGUAGAGUAAGAGUAUUUGGAGAUAUGAAAAGUAUUCAUACCAGAACUGAUGCAGAAAACACGAUCUCGGCAGUUAGUCUCCCUUUUCUAUCUAUCCCGUUUGCAAACCCAAGCACCGGUCCUAUAUUAAAUCUGAAGGAUCACUGUAUUGACUAUCGGUCUGUAAAGAUCUAACAAUAAAAAUAACUUAUCUGAA